rnacentral:misc_RNA from 1 species
AAAAUACGUUAAACGGUGUGAAUUGCAGAACACGCAGAACACUGGAACUUUGAACGCACAUGGCAGGUUAGUGUUAUAACUAACCUUUGUCUGUGUGAGGGUUGUAAUCAGAGAAUCAAGGCUAGUUUUUGAAAAGCGGGGAGGUUGCCUGUUAAAUGUGUGACAUGCCCGCUGAUCGCAUUAAAACACACUUGUGUUGCGCCUCUGGCCAGCGUCGGAGGAUAACGGCAACUAGACAAGUGUCCUUUCUUUCUCACAACCUCACAUCAGGCAAGAUUACCCGCUUAAUUUAA